AUAAUAAUUAUUUAUAAAAAAGGAUUCACUCAAGUAAUUAAAUCUUUUAAUAUUUUCAAUUUCAGCCCAACUCGCCCAUUUGACACCCCUAAUAAACACUCAUAAUUUUGAAUCAGACGAAGCAUACAUAAUUCCCAGGCCCAAUUCAUUUUCCCUUUAAUUUCCAGCCAGCCCCAAUUCUUUUUGCAGCCCAUUCCUCCUACCCGACCCACCAAAUUUAACCCAACCCAAACCCGAUUCUCCCUCUUCCUCUCUGCGUUCAACAGCCGCGCAGAACUUCAAAAAAAAAAAAGAGGGGCGCCUUCCUCUCUGUUCUUCCCUCUAUUUUGCGCGUGAAUCGUCCCCUAUCUCAUCAACUCCACUACGUUUCGUACGUUUUUCAGAGAGGGCAGAGAUUGGUACAAGAGCGCAGCGAGGUGUCGAAAUCUCCUCUCCCCUCUCGUCCUUUCUCUCAAAUCGGACCGCUAUUCUCUUCAUUCCGUUGAAAUAGUACAAAUUUGUACCAUUCCGUUUCAACCUUAUCCGGUUAGGUUUUUUUGAAUUUCAAAUUGGGACGUGAAAUCGCGAAUUUGCCCCAAACCUUCUUCCGUUUUUCCCCGCUCUCCACCCUGGAGAAAUGGCUAUAUAUAUUGCCAUUUCCCCACUGUUCCGGGAGGUUUUUUUUUUGCUGAAAUUUUAUUGUUACAAGAACACAAAGAUAGUCGAAAUUUUUUGAAGAAAGUUAAGGCAGAAUUUUCGAGGGAGUUCAUAUAACAGAGAUUAAAAGCAACCUACAAAGUUCAAAUUCGAAGCUGAAGCUAAGGCCCUUAACGAUUGGAACUAGUUUCUAUUCAAUCUAAAGUCUAAUCCCUUCCUCGUUCCAUUCCUAUUCCUUCAUUGUCUCCGGAGCUCGUCGAAGUUAUCAGGCCUCCAUUGUGGUUGUGGAAGGUCGUUUCCUUUGCUUGCAAAGUCUCAGUCGCUGCACGGAGAAAGUUGUUAUGGCCUUAGAGAAGAAGCUAAAAUGUUUUGGUUAUUCGUUCGGGUGUUGCUGCAUAUGUCUCUUGCUGCUACUUGAGUAUGAGGAGAGUUUGAGGAUUUGACUGUGUUAUAUUCUUUGAGUACUGAAUUGAUUAAUACUUAAUGUUUUAUCGAAAAAAUAAAGAUUUCAAAAAGAGUUUGUUUUAUUUUCGACUUUUAGGAGUCGCCACUAAAUUUUUAAGAAAAAUCAAGAAAACUUAUUUCCAAAACAACUUAAACAGAAAAAUCAUUUUGAAAAAAAACUUUUUAAGGGGUUCAGGAUUCUUAUUAGUGUCUUAGGAAGGUGUAAGACACCUAAGACACUCCGCUAACUUACGAUUUUCCGACGAUUAACUAUUUGACUAUUUUUGUUUUAACUUUUGCUAUUUUAUUGAACUUAUUGGAAAAUUACUUAGGCGAAUUAACAAGUUUUGAAAUAUUUAUUGUUUAUCUUGCGAUUUUGCAAAUGUCUCAAAGUUGAACUUAAGGCUUUAUCCAGAUGAAUUUUACAAUAUUUAUCGUUUUAAGAUUCGAUUGUAAUUUUUUAAGUUUGAUAAAAUAAAAAGGCGUUCGAUGGGGAUUCGGAGUUUCUAACCCUAACUAACGACAUUCACGCAGACAUGUAAAACGAAUAGUAAAAGAGAUAGAGAGAGAGGAGGGGGAGAGAGAUUCGGGUCCAAGUUCGAGUUCUGUUCGCGUUGACUGAAUCUUGGACCCAGCUGCUUUUGGGUGUUUGACCCAUUUUUGUACCUGUCCUAACUAAACAAAUAAUAAUACAAAGUAAAUAUGAAGUAAAGAAAACGAUAAGGGCUUAGGCCCAUUACAAAUAAAA